UACGAAGGGGGCUAGCGUUGCUCGGAAUCACUGGGCGUAAAGGGUGCGUAGGCGGAUUUCUAAGUCAGGGGUGAAAGCCUGAGGCUCAACCUCAGAACUGCCUUUGAUACUGGAAGUCUUGAGACCGGAAGAGGUAAGUGGAACUGCGAGUGUAGAGGUGAAAUUCGUAGAUAUUCGGAGGAACACCAGUGGCGAAGGCGGCUCACUGGUCCGGUACUGACGCUGAGGUGCGAAAGCGUGGGGAGCAAACAGG
rnacentral:rRNA from 1 species